UGGGGUAUAGUUCAGUGGCAGAACACUUGCCUAGUAUUCAAGAGGCCUUGGAUUUGAUCUUCAGCACCUCAA
rnacentral:tRNA from 1 species